rnacentral:rRNA from 1 species
UACGUAGGCAGCAAGCGUUGUUCGGAGUUACUGGGCGUAAAGGGUGUGUAGGCGGUUCUUUAAGUUUGCUGUGAAAUCUCCCGGCUUAACCGGGAGGGUGCGGUGAAUACUGAGGGACUAGAGUACGGGAGAGGAAAGUGGAAUUCCUGGUGUAGCGGUGAAGUGCGUAGAUAUCAGGAGGAACACCGGUGGUGUAGACGGCUUUCUGGACCGACACUGACGCUGAGACACGAAAGCGUGGGUAGCAAACAGG